rnacentral:tmRNA from 1 species
GGGGGUGCACCGGUUUCGACUGGUACGGUUCGGGGUACAGGUUGCAGGUGGAGUGCCGAGCUCCUAACAUUCGGCAACAAUUUAACUGCCGACUACGACAGUUACGCUCUCGCUGCAUAGUCAGCGGAACGCGGGAACCGGCUCCGCCGCCUUGAGGAGCCGAAUUUCCGUCGCAAUCGAGGCUGGUCAACCUUCGCUUUCGGACGGAGCGCGACGAGACAUUUCCGGAAUACGGGUGGGCCGCGGGCCGCAAAGCCAAACUCACCCCGACAAUAUAAAAUGCGGCUAAACCUGUAGAGAUUUGUAUUUCGCGUAUUAGGACGCGGGUUCGACUCCCGCCACCUCCAAAA